UAGUGCUCCAUUAUCAUGUUCAGUUGUAUCGAGCCAACAUCACAGUCCACCUGCUAACACCGUGUUGAUCCUCAACCUACACUGAGGUAAAAAUGUGUAACAUCACCUGUUGACUCUCUUCUGGGGCACUUGUACCUGCUUCAGAUUUGCACCAUCGUGACUGGGACAGAUGUACCGAGGUGGUGCUGAAAGUAAAGUUUCACCAUGGACUCAACCCAGAAGUGCUCACUGAGCUCACCUGACUCUGGACUUGCUGACCAACAUGGACUAGAAGAAAGCAUGGGGAUACCAGACUGUUCCAGAGAGAGACUGAACAUCUGUAUGAACACCAGAACCUACAGUUCCUGCAAAAGGCUCCGUGGCUUUCACGCUAUCAGAAUGGUUCAUCAUUAUAAGUGCAGGAUAUAAAUGCUGUAACACCACGACUGACACGCUUCAUGAGUGUCACAUGAUCAUCAGGAGAUAAGGAGGGUGCUCGAAGGCAGUGACAUCAUGCUUAGAAAUGGGCUAUAAAUCAGUGUGUAAAGCAGGACAUUGACUCCAGACCUUCUGAGGAGCAGGUGAUGGCUUUCACACACUACACACUGGUGUACGGUGUCCUGAUGAUCAGCGUCUUUCUGAGGUCAGGUGGUAACCCGCUAACAUCACUCCAGCUCAUGGAGGUAAUGAAUACGACUACGACUGCAGCAGGAAAUGAUUCUGGACCCCUGAUGAUGAACAGAACAGAGUCAGAUAUAAGUGUGAAGAAAAAGAUUUGGGCCAUGCUGUGGAGGAGAAGAGCAUCGAGUAAGAGAGACACUCACAAAAACUGCUUUGGCUUUAAAAUAGACAGAAUCAGUGAUCUAAGCGGAAUGGGCUGUUAACAUGAUCAUGUGCAUUAAUCAAUAAAAAAAUAUCAAAUAUAAAUUAAAUGUAAACUGCAAUGGACUGGAGAUGACUGACGGACAUAAAGGACAAACAUUCUCUCUGAUAAAUUAAAGAGUUUUUGUUCAGAAAUUGAUACAUGUGAAUCUUACAGAGCUUCUAAAACAGCUCGUUGUUAUGAAAGUGUAAUUUAACUAGAUAUCAAUAAAUAUAAAAUAAACUGUAUGUGGAGGUGAACUGUACUCAUGUGUCCAGUUCCUUUUAAAGCUCCUUUACUUUUAUAAAUGGAAAUAAAUGAAGGAUGUUACAGGAUAUGUUUAAAAUCAACACCACAGUUUAAGACCUGCUGUAAUAAAAAAAGGAAAUAUUUGCUUGUA